rnacentral:ncRNA from 1 species
UCCCGUCUCAUGUCCGGGUUAUGACAUGAACCUCCCUGUUGGACUUGCCCCGGCCUUGUGCCGGGGCUUUUUU